UUUUGUGGAGCUGAAGUUCAUCGGAAGUUCUACAGUGCUUGCGCCAGAAAAACGUCGGUGCCUCGGUACCUUUGAGACGAAGGAGCGUUGGCCAAGUCUUUUUGAAAGGCUAUGCGGAUUCUGGAGGCAUCCCUACAUCAAGCAGGAACCUGCUGCACUGCUGGAAGCUGGACAGCACGACAAUAAAGCACGUGAUCUGUGUGCUUUCUCAAAGGUAGACAUCGGCGACGGUGUAUAUGUUGAAAAGUGCCUGCUGAAGAGGCUGCGCCUGGAUGCUAACAACUCAGGCUUUCAGUUCGCGGGGGGCCUCCUUAAGGCUCCUUUUACAAAAGAAGAGGUUGAAGGGAGGCGCUACACAUGGAUGCGCAGCGAUUGUUUGUGACAUCGUCACUGCUGGCAGGCCUGGCCUGCCUUUUCGCUUCGUUCUGGGUCUUCCACGUUAUCUACUCGAAAACGCCCACAGGGUUUUGACAUUUAUUGAGCACUGCUUUCUGGAUUUGAGCUACACAAAGCUGCAGGUGAAAGCAUUGGAUUUAGUCAAUAUUUACUAGAACUAUUGCUAGGCAAAAAAAUUUUCAGAUGCAUAUCCUCAAGAAAGUUUCUGUAAAAAUUAUUUUGCCUAACAAAAGCACUCGUGGGUUCUGUGGCUGGCAGCUUGCCCAAGCCAUGUAGCACAGUGCUUGCUUUAAAGGGACACGAAAGGGAAAAUUUAUUUGAGCGUUAUUAAAUCAUUUUUCUACAACACCGAAAAAACAACUCCCUCUAAGAGAAUUGGCUUGAUAAGCCAGAUAACUUGC